AUGCUUGUCAUAGUUCUUCCUUGCGUAGUUGUGAUGAUGGGUGUGACUGAGAAAGAUAACGAAACCCUAACACCUGUCAGAACGAGCAGUGUUCAACAGUGCUUCAGAAAGAGCUUAUCUUCCAGAGUUUCAAUACUUCUAAUUUACUUGCUGAAGAGAAGGUUUUAUAUGAACUAUGAAUGGCCAUGGGUAACUGAGUUUCAAAAGCAGACAGUCUUGUUUCUGCCCCCUCUGGAUGCUUCAAGUUAAGGCACUUUAAAAUCACCAGAAAUGCUUUCACAUCAAGUUUUUCUAUAUAAAAUGCUAAACUAAUAUUGCAAAUUUGACACUGGAUUUGACUUUUAAAGUAGAAAUGUUGCUUGAAAGUAACCCUGAAUCCUUUGCACUAAAACACAUAUUUUCUCAUUUAAUCAUUAGUUUCCAAUGAAAACUGUUCCUUAUAUCAGACUCUCCUAGUUACACAUAAAAUUCUGUAACCAAGAAAACUAUGAAAAAUGUUAUAGCAGCUUGUCCUAAGUUCAAAAAAAAUCAAAUUUUCUUCUAGAAUUAUAGAAACAAACAAAGAAGUUAAGGGUUCUGUAGUGGGUUUACGUGGGAAGGUUUUGGUAGCAGCGGGUCAUAGGGGUGGCUUCUGUGAGAAGGCUCUAGAAGCUGCCCCAUGUUUGGUAAGGGCCCCACUGCUGACCAGAGCUGAGCCAAUAGGUGAUGUUGUUUUUCCGCCUCUGUGAGAGCAUAUUUAAAACAGGGAAAAAAAAAACGCUGCGCCACACAGCAGCUGGGAGAGUGAGGGGAGUGAGGAACAGCCUUGCAGGCGCCAAGGCCAGUGAAGAAGGAGGGGGAGAGGUGCUCCAGGCGCCAGAGCAGAAGUCCCC
rnacentral:lncRNA from 1 species